AGUCAUCAACCCCUUCCGUUUCGUGCGGGAAGGGUUGGACGUGGGGGCUCUGCUGCCGCGAGGCGGCUCCCCUCAAAUGCAUCGGUUGGGCCUGUGGGUCGAACUCGACUGGGCGUUGUACCAUCCUCGCUCGACAGAGACGUUCCCCUUCCGCGCCCUCCCCCGACCUGCCUAUCAGAGCGGCGGUCAAGCAACAAACUUUGAA
rnacentral:misc_RNA from 1 species